GACCUAGUAGCGGAGGGCUCGCGCCUACUUCACAUAUUGCAGGUCCUCUGAAUAUGUCACAGGACAGGAGUCCCUGGUUCGACUCCAGGCGAGGUCA